UGGCGCCCCCUCGCCGUUCCUCUGUAGCCAGUCUAGCUUCUGUACUCUCGGUUAACUUCAGCCGCCGCUCUAUGGUCGCAUCCUCCGAAGCUCUAUGGUUUAUAACGGGAAGCGAACAGGAUGUGAUGGGGGAGUUCGCGGAGCCCUGAGUGCCUGGCAGGAAGUGAGUGGGGGGUAAUUGGAUGCAAAUGCAGCCCUGCUGCAGGAACAGAGACUUGUCUGUGCGGGAAACUCUCUCCCAAAAGCCCUUCUGAAGCCUUUGAGUCGUACGUGAUGGAAGGAAGCAGGACAACUACCGGAUGAGACUCGUAGGAGCCCCGGGGCCUGAUGGAUAACCGCUGGACGGGAGUUUUGUUGGCGUGAACAUCGGGAUGAUUUGAUUCGCCUCUCGACCUCAGACUUUUUU